ACGGCUCAGUAACACGUGGUCAACAUACCCAGAGGACGUGGAUAACCUCGGGAAACUGAGGAUAAACCGCGAUAGACCAUAAUGUCUGGAAUGAUUUAUGAUUCAAAUCUAUAUGGCCUCUGGAUUGGACUGCGGCCGAUCAGGCUGUUGGUGAGGUAAUGGCCCACCAAACCUGAAACCGGUACGGGCUCUGAGAGGAGAAGCCCGGAGAUGGGCACUGAGACAAGGGCCCAGGCCCUAUGGGGCGCAGCAGGCGCGAAACCUUUGCAAUAGGCGAAAGCCUGACAAGGUUACUCUGAGUGAUCUCCGCUAAGGAAAUCUUUUGACACCUCUAAAAAUGGUGUAGAAUAAGGGGUGGGCAAGUCUGGUGUCAGCCGCCGCGGUAAUACCAGCACCCCGAGUGGUCGGGACGAUUAUUGGGCCUAAAGCAUCCGUAGCCGGUUCUUUAAGUCCUCCGUUAAAUCCACCUGCUUAACAGAUGGGCUGCGGAGGAUACUAUAGAGCUAGGAGGCGGGAGAGGCAAGCGGUACUCAGUGGGUAGGGGUAAAAUCCGUUGAUCCAUUGAAGACCACCAGUGGCGAAGGCGGCUUGCCAGAACGCGCUCGACGGUGAGGGAUGAAAGCUGGGGGAGCAAACCGGAUUAGAUACCCGGGUAGUCCCAGCUGUAAACGAUGCAGACUCGGUGAUGAACAGGCUUCGUGCCUGUUCAGUGCCGCAGGGAAGCCGUUAAGCCUGCCGCCUGGGGAGUACGGUCGCAAGACUGAAACUUAAAGGAAUUGGCGGGGGAG
rnacentral:rRNA from 1 species